CUCAUUUUUCCUGGCUCUGGGUAAGUAGUUCACCUCUAUGUGCUGUGGGCUCAACUUUUUUUUUUUUCUUUCCUUAUUUUUUUUUUUUUUUUUUUGGUCUUUCAAGACAGGGUUUCUCUGUGUAGCCCUGGCUGCCCUGGAACUCACUCUGUAGACCAGGCUGCCCUCGAACUCAAAAUCUGCCUGUCUCUGCCUCCCAAGUGCUGGGAUCAAAGGCGUGGGCCACCUGUAUUUUCUUAUGUAAUGUUUGUUUCUGGUGGGUUAAAAGACCCUCCUGGACAGCGUUGGUAGACAUGGACCUUGGUAAUCUGUUCCGUAGACAUAGCGGGGAGACCAUGUUAGAGCAUUCAAGACCUAAAGAUUACAGGAUUUUGUGAAGGACAAAAUGGUGGCGGCAGUACAAGGCCACCCCCUAUGAUGAGGACCUUUUCACAGACCUGUACUGAUAUCUCUGUGAGGAUAAAUAACUCUGAGGAGGAUGGCCCUACCCCUACAGCCUUCUCACCCUGUAGAGAUCUCUUGGUGUAGAAAUAACACAUGCUAACUUAUCUCUACAGGUUUGAGGUGCUACUUACAAACAAAAGGAUGGGAAUAUGCUCUUUUCUCAGAAUAUGGUUCAUCUCAAGGCCAUUUACACUUUGGAGCCAGGCCUGUUCAGUUUUACAAAUAGCACAGGUAAGUAUUGAUGGUUUGUGCUUUCUUAGGGAGUAUAUUUAGAUGGCCACUUGAUGAUGAACAAUGUGAAAGACAAGCAUAUGGCUGAGCUGUGGUGAUGUCAUCUCACUACUGAGAAGUGGGCUGAAGAAAGAAGGUGCUGAGGUGGCUGUGAUUACAUUUUAAAAUGACAUAGUUUCUGUUUCCAGGUUACUGUGACAACAUGAAGAGUUGAAGGUACCUCCCAGGAUGAUUGCAGGUAAUUGUCCAAGUAGAGCUUGGGCUUUCUCUAGGGAGACAUUGAAAUAGCACACUACAUUUUUGCUGCUUAUUCUGUGUAUUUCUAGAGAACCUUAUAUUAAGGCCUUUGUUCUCUUAAAAACUCAACUGUCAGAUGAUUUGAAAUGAUGACACUGAUAACACUCCAUGAAGGUGUGACUUUAUAGCAUGUUAGAGUUCUGAUGGCAGUUAGCGCUGACGAAGAGAUUGAAGUUCUGUCCUUAUGGUUGGAAAUAACUGCUUGCUACUUGCUCUUCACAGAUUUUCCCGGUGGUGAGUCUCCGGCAUUCAAAGGUUAGAUUAUUUUGCAUUGGGUUUGUUCACUAGGUUGGCUGUUUCUAUGAUGAAUCAAACUAGCUCACUAUGACUGCUAAUGAAAACACAGGAACACCUGAGAAACGGAAAGGUAGCAUGUGGGGGCAAGAGCACUUAUAUCCAGCCUUUUCAACCUUGGCUAUUUUUCUCCAGGUUCUGUUAGUGCCAUACUUGUUGGUUUACAGGUGAGUAAUUCAAGCAUGUGGUGUGGUGUAUGUGCAUAGUAUUGGACCUAACUGAGAAAGUACUUGGUAUAUAUGAUGACUUAGAGAAUCUCGUUCGGCUGAUGAUUGCUGUUGAGACUUGGAAAUCUGACUUUUCUCAGAAUGAUGGGUUAGAUAAGAACAAUCUUUUGCAAGAUUUUUAACAUUGCUGAUGACUGUCUUGUGUUUCAUAGAUGGUGUGUCUGGCUGAGACCAAAGGAGCCAUGCCAGGAAAGUUAAAGCGUAUCUUCAUUUUUAAGUCCAGGCUAAAGUAAGGUGAGAAAACUUAUGUAAAGUAUGCUGAACUAUAGUUUCCCCAUGAAGAAAUGUUCAAACGUCCUACUUCCUGUCCUAGCUCCAGAGCCUGAAAAGGUGAACCCACUGGGGCUGGCUGGGGGAAAAGAGGAAACUUUGUUCCAGAAGGAACUGUCUGAGGGAUCAUAUUUAUGCAUAGAAAGGGAAGAGUUAUUGAUUAAAAAGGAAACAAAAGGUUAUUUCCUUGUCUUCCAGGUCUGAGGAAAAGAAUGAGCUGCAUGAGAAAGAUAGGAACAGAUCAUCAAAUCUGAUUGUCCGGGCCAGUGUUGCAUCAUAACAGGCCACUUUAAAAUGAAGUGAAAUUGACAAUUGUGAAUUUAACCUUCCUUGAUUACUACAUUGUUAACUCUAGGAACUAGUAUCUGGUCCUUACUACAUUGUUAACUUGUAGACCUGUGUUUAUGUCUAGCAAUAAAUGCUCUUUAUGC
ensembl:processed_transcript